rnacentral:rRNA from 1 species
GCUUCUGAAGAAUCAUUUGAAGUACUUAGUGGCGGACGGGUGAGUAACGCGUGGGUAACCUGCCUCACACAGGGGGAUAACAGUUGGAAACGACUGUUAAUACCGCAUAAGCGCACAGUAUCGCAUGAUACAGUGUGAAAAACUCCGGUGGUGUGAGAUGGACCCGCGUCUGAUUAGCUAGUUGGCGAGGUAACGGCCCACCAAGGCGACGAUCAGUAGCCGGCCUGAGAGGGUAAACGGCCACAUUGGGACUGAGACACGGCCCAAACUCCUACGGGAGGCAGCAGUGGGGAAUAUUGCACAAUGGGGGAAACCCUGAUGCAGCGACGCCGCGUGAGUGAUGAAGUAUUUCGGUACGUAAAACUCUAUCAGCAGGGAAGAGAAUGACGGUACCUGACUAAGAAGCACCGGCUAAAUACGUGCCAGCAGCCGCGGUAAUACGUAUGGUGCAAGCGUUAUCCGGAUUUACUGGGUGUAAAGGGUGCGUAGGUGGCAUGGCAAGUCAGAUGUGAAAUGCCGGGGCUCAACCCCGGAACUGCAUUUGAAACUGUCAAGCUAGAGUACAGGAGAGGAAAGCGGAAUUCCUAGUGUAGCGGUGAAAUGCGUAGAUAUUAGGAGGAACACCAGUGGCGAAGGCGGCUUUCUGGACUGACACUGACACUGAGGCACGAA